rnacentral:rRNA from 1 species
UACGUAGGGGGCAAGCGUUGUCCGGAAUCAUUGGGCGUAAAGCGCGCGCAGGCGGAUUGGUCAGUCCGGGGUGAAAUCUCACGGCUCAACUGUGAGCGGUCCCCGGAUACUGCCAGUCUCGAGGUGUCUAGAGGAGAGCGGAAUUCCCGGUGUAGUGGUGGAAUGCGUAGAUAUCGGGAAGAACACCAGUGGCGAAAGCGGCUCUCUGGGGACCACCUGACGCUGAGGCGCGAAAGCGUGGGGAGCGAACCGG